rnacentral:rRNA from 1 species
GACGAACGCUGGCGGCGUGCUUAACACAUGCAAGUCGAACGGAAAGGCCCUGCUUGCAGGGUACUCGAGUGGCGAACGGGUGAGUAACACGUGGGUGAUCUGCCCUGCACUUCGGGAUAAGCCUGGGAAACUGGGUCUAAUACCGGAUAGGAGCCAUUUUUAGUGUGAUGGUUGGAAAGUUUUUUCGGUGUAGGAUGAGCUCGCGGCCUAUCAGCUUGUUGGUGGGGUAAUGGCCUACCAAGGCGGCGACGGGUAGCCGGCCUGAGAGGGUGGACGGCCACAUUGGGACUGAGAUACGGCCCAGACUCCUACGGGAGGCAGCAGUGGAGAAUAUUGCACAAUGGGCGCAAGCCUGAUGCAGCGACGCCGCGUGGGGGAUGACGGCCUUCGGGUUGUAAACUCCUUUCGCUAGGGACGAAGCUUUUGUGACGGUACCUAGAUAAGAAGCACCGGCUAACUACGUG